UACGUAGGGUGCAAGCGUUGUCCGGAAUUAUUGGGCGUAAAGAGCUCGUAGGCGGUUUGUCGCGUCUGCUGUGAAAUUUCGGGGCUCAACCCCGAACUUGCAGUGGGUACGGGCAGACUAGAGUGUGGUAGGGGAGACUGGAAUUCCUGGUGUAGCGGUGAAAUGCGCAGAUAUCAGGAGGAACACCGAUGGCGAAGGCAGGUCUCUGGGCCACUACUGACGCUGAGAAGCGAAAGCAUAGGGAGCGAACAGG
rnacentral:rRNA from 1 species